UAUGCUUUAAUAUAUGAUGUAUAGGGGAUUUUGAUGCCUCAAGAGGUGGUUUGAAUCCGUCAGGUAUAA
rnacentral:tRNA from 1 species